AGCUUUGCAGAGUGGCAGUAUUCCUAGCCAGUGAGGUUUAUCUGAGGUACGAUUAUUGCUGAUUGAAAACAUUUCCCAACACCCCACGGUGAUAACUUGACACACCAAAGCACACAGAAAUUUUAACUCUUGUGGAAAUUCUAUUGUUUAAUAGAGC
ensembl:snRNA U4 U4 spliceosomal RNA